rnacentral:sRNA from 1 species
GGAUAUUUUAUAUGACUGAAAAUAGUUAUGACUUUGUAGUAAGUUCUUUUGUUAAACGCAACCCAGGUAUUAAUCGAAAAUUGUAUCAAUUUUGAUCGUUAAGGGAAUCUUGUAUAACUGAAAACAGUUACGACUUUGUCUCAAGUUCUUUCGUAAAACGCAACACAGGUUUUUUUUAAAUUAUGAACAAAAAAUAAACAAUGAAAUGAAUAACAGUAUUUUUAGAAAUCCAUUCGUUGUGAUAUAAAUGUGUGAUACUUAAUUUUGUUUAUUCACCGAAUUUAAAUGUAUGAUGUGUUAGACAUAUUUAGCCACAAAUAUUGUAGUGAACAGUGAAGUUAUUUAUUGUUGUUGUAUUAAAUUGCAGAUUCACGAAGUACUGUUUUGUGCAAAAGUAUUACUCUGAUGAUUAAAUAUUUGUUUUU